GAUAGAUUCGUUUGUUCCACUUUUUUACAAAAUAAAAAGAAAAGAAAAAAUGUGCAAUGCAUCCGAGAAUCAAAUUUCAGAAUUGAUAGGGAGAAGCUUGGCACUACCAGAUCCCCUCGCCACCUAAGCCAGCAACGCCACCAAAGCCAAAUGUGGGGGAACCCCACCAACACCUCCCAGUCGCCAGCAGGGAUCUACCCUACCAAUCCUGGCUUCCCAACGUGGGCACACAAGACCCACUCCUUACUAAUGCCGCAGCUAAAGAAACCAUGCCUCGCAUUAAUGGUUGGCAGCAUGCCCCAGCUUCCCCAACCGCCUCCUGGCUGACAUCUCAACAGAAGCCACGCCUCUGCAUUAAUGACUGGCAGCAUGCCCCUGCUUCCCCAGUAGCCUCCUGGCUGACAUAUCAACAAAAGUCAUGCUUCGGUAUUAAUGAUUGAUAGCAUGGCCCGAUUUCACCAGCCUUCCCCUCCGGACGACCGAUGGAGGGCCCACUCCUUGCCUAACCCAAAGAGACAGGGGAGUUAGCCCAAAGGCGUCCCAACGGUCCGCACCAGCAAGCCGUCCUUAUUAAUGCCCCCACCAUACAUAGUAAGAGGGGCCUGGCUAACACACGUCUAGACUGCUCGAUGCCUUGGUAAAAAAUCCAAGCCCCAGACCAAGACAAACGGAGACAGGCAAAAACCCUCUAUUCUCUCAUUUACACUACUCACACUAUUGGCUUCCUCCCCCUCCAUCAAUCCAUCUUUCGCUAACUUAAGCAUCGAAGGGGUCGACCUGGGACACCCUCGCCAGCAGGGAUCUGCCUUGCUAAUCCUGGCUUCGCAACGUGGUGUCACGGUCUUAGCUGGAAUUGCCUAAGGCGUGAGGCACCCUUGCGGCCAAGACGCGAACUUAGCUUGCGUUGCCUAAGACGCGCUUCGCCCUUGCGAUACUGUUCCGCAAAGAUCAGCCCACUUGCAACCUCUCGCAAGUCCCGAAGGACCUGUAAAAGAGAAAGUUGAUUAGUUCGAAAGAACAAGCAACGGACAAGUCUCGAAAUCUCGCGAAAAGGGGAAGCUUUACAAGCAAUUCAGCGAGCACCUUGCGUGCACAAGAGAAAAGAGGGAGAGGGGGAAAACAAGUUCUUUAGAAGGUUGAACGAACAGCUGCAAACCCACAAACAGCUGCUCACCGAGUCCCGGGCGCGACAACAAGUUCCCGUCAAGGCAACGUGCGAACUUGCGAAUGAGUGUUCAACGCCCGGUACUAUACCGAAGCCCCAUCCACCCCUGUGCCACCCAGGGGGUUCAAAGGGGCUGAGAUGGCUGACGUUUUGGUGAGCGGAGGCAGAUUCCAUAAAUCAGCCCACGGCACACGAAAACAAAGCUGUUUUGGGGCUGUUUUGCUCGGUUCGGUGAGCGGUCGCUUUGUAACGCUGCAGCUUGUUCGAACUUACAUUUUUACAAGUAAAACGACCCAAAACUAAGGCAAAACAGGCUGCCAAGUAACUGUACAUGUAGAUGAGAGCGACGAACGGUUCGUUGAACGGAGUUGUUGCGGGCGCAAGACGAUCGUUCGUGACAUUCUCCCCCACUUAAACUAUCGACGCCCUCGUCGACGCUUGUUGGUAGUUGUUGAUGAUCUCUUCUUCAUGUCGCAGGGCAUCUUCAGGCUCCCAACUGGCUUCAGUUCGGGGAAGUUUUCGCCACUUCACCAAGUACUCUGUCUGCUCAGCUCCGUUGGGUAGCUUUAUCUUGUGGUCCGCCAGAAUGGUUUCAACUCGCUUCUCGUAGGAGGCUGUGAUGGGAGGUAGCCGAGUCGGAACACUUCGGGAAGCAUCUUGCAGAUCCGAGUGGUCGACUUUUAGGCUGCUGGCGUGAAGAACGUUGUGAAUUUUGAACCACAUCGGCAGUUGCAACUUAUAAGAGACGUUGCCUACCCUGCUGAUAAUUGGGAAGGGCCCUUCAUUCUUGCGCACCAAUCCUUUGUGGACUUUGUUCCUAAAGAAUUGGAGUGAUGCUGGUUGGAGCUUUACUAACACCAAAUCGCCAACUUUGAACUCUUGCGGUCGCCUUCCCAAGUCUGCCCACUUCUUCAUCCUUCUUGCCGCCUUCUCCAAGUAAGCCCGCGCAAUAUCUGCAUUUCGAUGCCACUCCUUUGCGAAAUGGUAGGCUGACGGACUACUCCCAGUAUACCCAAUGGACAUGGUGUGCGGAGUCGACGAUUGUUGUCCGGUAAUGAUUUCGAAUGGGCUCUUGUUGGAUGCAGAGCUCCGCUGCAAGUUGUAGGAGAAUUGGGCAACGUCCAACAGCUUCACCCAAUCUCGUUGGUUGGCACUCACGUAGUGCCGAAGAUAUUGCUCCAGGAGCGGGUUUAUCCUUUCAGUCUGGCCAUCCGUCUGGGGGUCGAGGCUUGUAGAUAAGUAUAACUUUGACCCCAACAAUUUGAAUAGCUCGAUCCAGAAUCGUCCCAGGAACCGAGCGUCUCGAUCACUAAUGAUAUUGUGCUUGGCCGCCUCCUCUGCUGAACAGUGUAGGGGAGCAACAAUGAAAGUUGCAUACUUUGAAAACCGAUCGACCACCACGAGUAUCGAUCCGAGUCUCCCUACAAGUGGCAAGCUUGAUAUGAAGUCCAAGGAAAUGCUCUCCCACGGCCUUUCUGGUACGGGCAACGGCUCCAAAAGUCCCACCGGCUUCCGCUGCUCCACCUUGUCUUGUUGGCAAGUAAGGCAUGUUCGAACAUAUUCCUCCACAUCAGUCCCCAUCUUCGGCUAGUAGAAGGCCCUCUCCACGAGAGCCAACGUUCUGUGAAUACCUGGGUGUCCAGCCCAAAGGGAAUCGUGACACUCUUUUAAAAGUUCACGCCUCAAAUUGUCUACUCGGGGAACAUAAACCCUAUUGCCUUUGGUGUAAACGAGUCCCUCCUAGACCCAAAAUCGUCGUGUCUUGCCUUCUUUGAUGAGCUGCAUCAGGAUAACUGCCUGGGGUUCACUAUACAGUCCAUCUCUGAUCCUGGAAAGGAAGUUGGAGUGCAACUGACUUGCUUGGCCUCCGCCCUCCAAUUGUGUGGCAUUCACACGCUCCACUUUCCAACUCAAUGCAUCGGCCACGACAUUCGCCUUUCCAGGCUUAUACUCCAUUGCCAUAUCAAAUUCAACCAGGAAGUCCUACCAACACGCCUACUUUGGGGAGAUCUUCUUCUGUGUUUGGAAAUAGCUAAGAGCGAUGUUGUCCGUCCUCAGCACAAAUCGCGAUCCGAGGAGAUAGUGUCGCCAAACUCGUAGACAGUGGAUCACCGCUGUCGUCUCCUUCUCAUGCAUUGGAUACCGUCGCUCGGUCUCGUUGAGUUUGCGGCUCUCGUAGGCCACCGGAUGACCCUCCUGCAUGAGUACUCCCCCAAUAGCGAAGUCUGAAGCAUCUGUAUGGACUUCAAAAGGCUCCCCAUAGUCUAGCAAUUUGAGCACUGAUUCUUUCAUAACAGCGGCCUUCAGAUCUUGGAAUGUCAUUUCACAUUUAUCAGACCACUUCCAAGGCUGCUCUUUCUUCAGUAACUCCGUCAGUGGACUUGCACGCUUCGAGUACCCCGCUAUGAAGCGUCGAUAGUUGUUGACGAAACCAAUGAAGGAUCUCAACUCUGGCACCUUCUUUGGAGUUCGUCAUUCCGCAAUCGCUUGCACCUUCGACCUAUCCAUCCGAAUGGAACCAUUACCGAUUUGAUGCCCCAAGAAUAGGAUCUCCGUUUGGGCGAAGUAGCAUUUCUCUCUUUUUACGAACAAUGUGUUCUCCCUGAGAACCUUGAAAAUUAUCCGAAGUUGCUGGACAAGUUCCUCGAGCGUUUGGUUGUAUACAACGAUAUCGUCAAAGUAGACGACCUCGAACUUGUCCAAAUACUCCUUGAAUAGUUGGUUCAUGAGAGUGCAGAACGUGGCUGAAGCGUUGGUUAAGCCGAAAGGCAUCACCAAGAACUCAAACGCUCCAUACCUGGUCACACAGGUAGUCUUCGCCUCGUCGCCUUCAGCGAUGCGCACCUGCCAAUACCCCGACAUAAGGUCAAGUUUCGAGAAAUACUUGGCUUUGCCCAACUGGUCGAACAAGUCCACGAUGAGCGAGAUGGGAUACUUGUUCUUCACUGUCACUUUGUUAAGGGCUCGGUAAUCGACGCAGAGUCGGAGGCUCCCAUCUUAUUUCUUCUGGAAGAGAACUGGAGCUCCGAAAGGUGCUUUAGAGCUACGGAUGAGACCACUACUUAGCAGUUCACCUAACUGCUUCCUGAGUUCUGCCAACUCUGGCGGGGGCAUGCGGUAGGGUGUUCUCGCUGGAGGCUUCACUCCUGGCUCCAGCUCGAUGCUGUGAUCCACGCCUCUGCGUGGUGGAAGAGUCUUCGACAAUUCGGGUGGCAUAACGUCAUUGAACUCUUUCAGGACGUUCGCCACCACAGCAGGUUCUUGAAUGGCCUUCUCGUUGAGUGGCUCUAGCUUCAUAGCAGCCACAAAUGUUAAUUCACCUUUUCACACCCCUUUCUUCAGUUAUAAUGCCGAUAUGUGUUGGGGCUCCUUGGUUCCUCUUCGAGAGACGGGAACCACGCAGGGGUUGUCACCUCCCAUCAUACAUAGGGAGUUCAAGAACGGCAUUGGCACCAACUUCGCCGCGUGCAUAAACUCCAUUCCAAGAAUCACUUGGAAGUCAUCCAGUGGCACUGCCAUCAUGUUGGUGUUCCCGCUCCAUGUCUCGAUUUUGAUGGGGACUCCCUUCGCUAACCCGGAGAUUCGCCUGGCCUCCGAGUUCACCGCCUUCAUUCGGCUUGGGCUCUUCUCCAAGAUCAACCCAAGUCGCUGUGCUUCUCGAUCGACUAUGAAGUUGUGGGUAGCGCCCGUGUCCACCAUUGCACGGGUCGUUUAGCCAUUUAACUUGGAGAAGAGCCCAAGAACGGGAACCACGCAGGGGUUGUCACCUCCCAUCAUACAUAGGGAGUUCAAGAACGGCAUUGGCACCAACUUCGCCGCGUGCAUAAACUCCAUUCCAAGAAUCACUUGGAAGUCAUCCAGUGGCACUGCCAUCAUGUUGGUGUUCCCGCUCCAUGUCUCGAUUUUGAUGGGGACUCCCUUCGCUAACCCGGAGAUUCGCCUGGCCUCCGAGUUCACCGCCUUCAUUCGGCUUGGGCUCUUCUCCAAGAUCAACCCAAGUCGCUGUGCUUCUCGAUCGACUAUGAAGUUGUGGGUAGCGCCCGUGUCCACCAUUGCACGGGUCGUUUGGCCAUCUAACUUGAUGUCCACAUACAUCAGUUCACUACUUCCUGCUUUUUGUGUCUUUGUUUUCAUGUUUUCCCCCACUUGACCCCGCAUGGCGUUCAACAAACGCAUUACUCCCAUCCGGGGUCCUUGCGACUCCUCGUCGUCGCUGCUGGAUUCAGAACUGCUCGAACUAAGAGCAACAGCUUUGCCCUGGUCCGAUCGGGGGGGUGGAUGGAAGCCGUCAAAGCAUUGAGUGCCUGUUUUUGUGGGCACUCCCUCACCAUGUGUGGUCCUCCGCACAAGAAGCAUCCUCCAGAUUUUGAGACCUUGCCUUUCGGGUUUUGCCCUUUGUGGGAACUCUUCUUCUUUUGUUCACCCCCGAGCUCCUUCCCUCGAGAAUGUUUCGGAGGGCGAUUGCUUGAAGAUUGUUUCCUUCUCCCUGGGUCUUCAGAGGAAACAAAGUCGGUGAGCCUUUCUGCAGCAGCAAUUGCCCCGACCACAUCGGUAACAUUCCUUCGAUUUAGUUCUUGUUGAGCCCAUGGCUUCAAACCAUCGAGGAAGCUGAACAACUUGUCCUUCUCGGACAUGUCCUGUAUGUCUAGCAUUAGUGCACAAAAAACUGUUUCACAUAGUCUCGGAUGGUGGUACUCUGGCGGAGUUGUCUCAACUUCCUUCUUACGAUGAACUCUGUGUUCUCUGGUAGGAACUAAGUUCUCAACUCCCGCUUCAAGUCCUCCCAAGUGUCAACCCGACACCGACCUUGUUGGAUCUCCUCCCAGCGAGUUCGCCACUAAAGUUUUGCAUCUCCGUUCAGAUACAUUGUUGCUAUAGAAACUUUGGUAUCUUCAGAAUCGGGCCUCAUAGCUCGAAAGUAUUGUUCCAUGUUGAACAGAAAGUUCUCGAGCUCUUUGGCAUCUCUGGCCCCUCCAUAUCCAUGAGGCUCGGGUGCCCGUAAAUUUUGUGGUGGUGCAACGCGGGUGUUGCUUCCUCCCGCAUUUAGUGCUAUAUUGAGCAUUGUCACCCUUGAAGUGAGUUCCGCCACAACUUCCUGCAGGUGUUGCAUGGAGUCUUUGGUGUCAUCAGACAGUCGGUCGACUAGGGCCUCGACCUUGUCUAUCCUGGACUUUGCUUCCUCUUGCGAGCUCUCUACCCUAACAAGCCUUUGUUGGCCAUGGUAGAGUUCCUCCACGCUUGCUUCAAGAACAUCCAAGCGGGUUUCCGCCGUUGUGAGUCUCUCCUUGUGACUCUUCUUCCCAGUUGGCGCUCCAUAUUGCGCCUCCUCCGCUCGCGGAGAGUAGCCAACUUCUCGCUCAUCAUGUUCGCUGUCGCGCUCCUCUUGAGCGGCUCCAACAGCAUGAGAGCGAGUGUGCACAUGCAGCCCACCUACGGCUGCUUGGGGCAAGGGUCCGGCUUGCCCCGUCUUGCUGGAUUCGCCACGAUGCUUUGACAUGGCGAAGUUACGAAGUUCCUUCGCUGCUCGCUUGAAGUGCUUGCCCGCUCUGAUACCACAAUGUCACGGCCUUAGCUAGAAUUGCCUAAGGCGUGAGACACCCUUGCAGCCAAGACGCGAACUUAGCUUGCGUUGCCUAAGACGCGCUUCGCCCUUACGAUAUUGCUCCGCAAAGAUCAGCCCACUUGCAACCUCUCGCAGGUCCCAAAGGACCUGUAAAAGAGAAAGUUGACUAGUUCGAAAGAACGAGCAACGGACAAGUCCCGAAGUCUCGCGAAAAGGGGAAGCUUUACAAGCAAUUCAGCGAGCACCUUGCGUGCACAAGAGAAAAGAGAGAGAGGGGGAAACCAAGGGCUUUAGAAGGUUGAACGAACAGCUGCAAGCCCACAAACAGCUGCUCACCGAGUCCCGGGUGCAACAACAAGUUCCCGUCAAGGCAACGUGCGAAAUUGCGAAUGAGUGUUCAACGCCCGAUACUAUACCGAAGCCCCAUCCACCCCUGUACCACCCGGGGGGUUCAAAGGGGCUGAGAUGGCUGACGUUUUGGUGAGCGGAGGCAGAUUCCAGAAAUCAGCCCACGGCACCCGAAAACGAAGCUAUUUUGGGCUGUUUUGCUCGGUUCGGUGAGCUAUCGCUCUGUAACGCAUCAGCUUAUUCGAACUUACAUUUUUACAAGCAAAAUGACUCAAAACCAAGGCAAAACAGGCUGCCAAGUAACUGUACAUGUAGAUGAGAGCGACGAACGGUUCGUUGAACGGAGUUGUUGCGGGCGCGCGACGACCGUUCGUGACAGUGGGCACAUAAGACCCACUCCUUACUAAUGCCGCAGCUAAAGAAACCAUGCCCCGCAUUAAUGGUUGGCAGCAUGCCCCAGCUUCCCCAACCGCCUCCUGGCUGACAUCUCAAUAGAAGCCACGCCUCUGCAUUAAUGACUGGCAGCAUGCCCCUGCUUCGCCAGUAGCUUCCUGGCUGACAUAUCAACAAAAGCCAUGCUUCAGUAUUAAUGAUUGAUAGCAUGACCCGAUUUCACCAGCCUUCCCCUACGGACGACCAAUGGAGGGCCCACUCCUUGCCUAACCCAAAGCGACAGGGGAGUCAGCCCAAAGGCGUCCCAACGGUCCGCACCAGCAAGCCAUCCUUAUUAAUGCCCCCACCAUAUAUAGUAAGAGGGGCCUGACUAACACACGUCUAGACUGCUCGAUGCCUUGGUAAAAAAUCCAAGCCCCA
rnacentral:lncRNA from 1 species